ensembl:lncRNA
GGUGGGUGUUUGCUCUCUGGCUCAGCGACCAGCAGGAAAGAUGGUGUCUCACUGGUAGCUCCCUGGGAGAGAAGGUGCAGAGAUUUCUGAAGGGGGCGCAGGGGUCCUCCUGGAUGGGCUUCCUCGGUGACUUGGUGGUAAAGAAUCCGCCUGCCAGUGCAGGAGACCCACGAAACUUGGGUUCAGUGCCUUGGCCAGAAAGAUUCCCCGGAGAAGGGAAUGGGAGGACGGCGACUGUUAGCCUGUGAACGAAGGCGAGAGUGAGCAGCCUCAUGCUCCUGACCAAGGUAAGAAGCUGUUCCUUGAGGCCUCGGGGGGUGGGCACUGCCCUGCAGAUGCCGGACUUGCCGGCACCACGGGUGCGGCCGCCCUGCUGCGCCCGUGCCGUUGGGGCAGAGAGGAAGUGGCUAUUUCUACGCUCAGUGCUCAGAACCGUGGGCACUAAGAAUGGUUUGUAGCCGGACAUCUCCGAGCACUGCCCGAGGGAGCCCCUUGUUCCCACGUGCGCAGAAGAGAAGGCCGGGGAGGACUUUUUAGGAGUCCUUGGGCACCUGUGACGUGCCUCCCUGCCUGAGGGCUGCUGAGCUGGUGUCCUGUGCCACCCAGCCUACGAGUCCUUGUGCCCUGGGCGCCCGAUGUAAGGAGUCCCUUGAGGGAAGGCCAGGGGGUGCGGCCGGCAGCACUGCUGCAGGGGGGCAGGGUCU